rnacentral:rRNA from 1 species
AUAUUGGUCAAUGGAGGCAACUCUGAACCAGCCAUGCCGCGUGAAGGAUGAAGGCCCUAUGGGUUGUAAACUUCUUUUAUUGGGGAAGAAACCUUUCUACGUGUAGAGAGCUGACGGUACCCAAGGAAUAAGGACCGGCUAACUCCGUGCCAGCAGCCGCGGUAAUACGGAGGGUCCGAGCGUUAUCCGGAAUCAUUGGGUUUAAAGGGUGCGCAGGCGGUAAAGUAAGUCAGUGGUGAAAUCCCUUCGCUCAACGAAGGAACUGCCAUUGAUACUGCUAUACUUGAAUAUAGUCGAAGUGGGCGGAAUGUGACAUGUAGCGGUGAAAUGCGUAGAUAUGUCACAGAACACCGAUAGCGAAGGCAGCUCACUAGACUAACAUUGACGCUCAUGCACGAAAGCGUGGGGAGCGAACAGG